rnacentral:rRNA from 1 species
AUUGUAGGCUGAAACUCGCCUACAUGAAGCUGGAGUUACUAGUAAUCGCAGAUCAGAAUGCUGCGGUGAAUGCGUUCCCGGGUCUUGUACACACCGCCCGUCACACCACGGGAGUUGGAGACGCCCGAAGCCGAUUAUCUAACCUUUUGGAAGAAGUCGUCGAAGGUGGAAUCAAUAACUGGGGUGAAGUCGUAACAAGGUAGCCGUAUCGGAAGGUGCGGCUGGAUCACCUCCUUUCUAAGGAGA